rnacentral:lncRNA from 1 species
GUUGAUUCUAUUAAAUGAUUCACUAUGGAGAGAUAGCAGACCUCAUAUGUCUUCAGCGUUAUUGUCCUGUCACCAGCUGGCUCAGAUCUCUGUUUAUAGGUAGACUUGAGUUAUGCGUGAACACUAGCGUCACGUGAUCAAUUCUCAUAAUGGCAAGGAAAGUUGUGUGAGUGCGCUACACCAGUUUUUGACGCGACAGUGACAACGUCUUAUAAAUUGGUUUGCCGGGUGACACUUCAAGAAACUCACAAUGAGAGCGAGUGAGAGCGUUCGUUUUGGUUCACGAUCGUCUGGAAAGAGCACGAAUAGGAGCAGUGGCGAGCAACCACAGAGAAGAGAAUUAAUCCCUUCUCUUUGGAGCAACCCAGCAGCAACCCGAAGGCAUUCACCUGGAGAGAGAGUGAAACGGAGCAGUCAACCUGCGCAGGCGCCGAAAGCAAUUUCCUGCGACUGCGCCACUAGUGAAUAGGUUAUGUUGGGGUGGUAUACAGUUGUUCGCACUAACAAUUGUUCGCAUCGCAAUCUGUGCACACUAACAAUUGUUUGCAUCGCAAUCUGUGCGCACUAACAGUUGUUCGCAUCGCAAUCUGUGCACGCUGGCAGUUCUGCGCAGAAUUUAGUAGUUUAGUGAUGUAGGCGCUCUACCUGCCCUCUAACGGAAUGUUAUCAUCAGAACCAUGCGACUCUUUAAUUUAUCACAAUGGCAUUGGCAACAAAAACUAGACCAUUUAUAUGCAUAAUAUACGCAUGGUGUUUAUAGGUUUUUUCUAGAGGAAAAAACGGUAUUGAUUUAGAGGUUAAGUUCAAGUUAUAAAUUUACAAUAUUACAUUAUUAUUGCAAGUAAAUUUCAUUUACUGCAACAUUACUGCAGAUUCACUUUAGGAAAGUAAAUAGCAAUUUCUCAAGUAGAAAAGUGUUAAGCUUAUCUAUGUUAAAAGCUGAAAUGGUACAAUUUUGUAUCACUAAAAUACUAGAUAAUACGGCGCAUGCUCACUGACCUCUUGUUGAAACUAAUGUAUGGCUGGUGAACAAUAUACUAUCUAGUAUCAGGUCUGUUUUUUUUUCAAUAUCAACCUAUCAAAUCUAAUCUACUCAAACAAUUUUUCUAAAAUUAAUGCUGAAUCUUUUCAUUGAGUUUUUAGAGAAUUUAAUAUAUUGUCUACUAUGAACAAACUUCUAUCUUCAGCAUACAUACAAAAUUUGGUAUUUUGAUAGCAUCGAGGACACAUUUUGGUAAACACCGCCCUUCCCCCACCAAUAGAUUUAUUCAACCUUUGCUAUUUGAGACUAUUGAUAUUUAUUCAAUUAUGACUAUUCAUUGUUAUACCCUAUGUAUUUAGGAUACGAUCCAUUCAUGGAUGCCUAGGCAACGUGUAACGAGAGGCGCUCUAAGAAAGAUUAUUAUUAAUAAUAAUAUUGUACAUUAUUAUUUAAUUUAGAAAUUUUCUCUUUUCAGAUAAUGUAGCACAUGCUCACUGAUCUCUUGUUGAAACUUGCUGCUGGUUGAAACUGAUGUAAUCUAUGUCUGGUGAACAAUUUAUCAAGUAUCAGAAACGCAAAGUGCCAGUAAUAUCUGCCCCCUCAUUACUGCUGAGUAACCGAGAAAGCUUUCCAAAAGACAAAGUUGUUCAACGAUAACAAAACAUGUCACAAAGUCCGCAUCGUAGUCAGCUCAUCGUGUGUGUUGGUUUUCAUACUGCAUUUAAGAAACAUUCUAAUAAAAAUAUCAAAUAAUAACAUUGUUAUUAACGAAGACAUUAUACAAUCUGUUUAUAAAAUGUAAUCUAUUCUAUUUUGUACUUUACAAGAUACCUAUAAUUCUAUUUGUGUUCAUUUGUGCUUUAAAUAACAACGUUAAAUUCAAAAUUGUAGUAGAUACAUUUUUUUGUACUCAAAAUAGUGUGUGAAUUAACUUAUCAUUUACAUAACCUUUAGACUGUGUAU